AGUACAUUUGUAGGAAUUUUUUUCCCUUCAAAAGAUUGUUCAGGAAGCUGAAGUCCAUGGCAAAUCAUCACAGUGUGAAAACUAAAAGCAACCAUUUCCCUUCAUGAAAACGGAAAGCCAUCAUUGCCUUUUUCUGUACGACUUCAGAUGUUGGCAUUGAUGUGAGUUAAAACAACAAGCAGCCCCACGUACCAUCUUCAUAUAUGUAGACAUGUGUGUAUGGUAUCCUGGCUUUGCAUCAAAUGGAUCUUCAGAGUUUCAGAACUUGAUGGCCGGCCAAUGAACCUUGUGGGUCUGAGUUUUAGGAUGUAGGUGCCUCUUGGUAGGAAUUGUCUAAUUCUCCAUGUUUGUGCCAAGUACCUUUAUGGCAACAGUCUGAUGAAAUAGUAUUCAAAACUGGAAGAUACAAAGUUGCUUCUCAUGUAUCUUAUCUGUGCUGGCUUGUCUCUACAGUAGCAUUUGAAGUGGGUUUUAUUUUUAAAUGUACAGCAGUAUUUGAAAUAAACACAUUUCUUGCCAACAA